GAGCGCAGUGACAGAAAGUGGAGCUAUGCUGUGGUAAAUUUCUGUUUUGACAUGUCAAUUCGUCUCUAAAUGUCCAUCCGUCUUCAGCGAGGGAAAAAAGAGGAAUGUCAACAGGAAGUAGAGCAACUUGCUGGUAUCUGAAAACAGUCAGAGGAGAGUGGAAGGAGUUGUUUCUCAACACAGAGUGAGACAUGGGCUCCGAGUACCGACCUCUGUCUCCGGCAGAGUCAUGUAGAAGUUUGUUUAUAGAGACAUCAGAGUGCUUUAUAUGCAGGGAUGGUGAACUUAAAGCCAGUGACCCGCUGAGGAAUUUCUGCGACUGCAAGAAUUUACUUGCCCAUCACGUGUGUCUGUCCACAUGGAUCCAGAGGGGAUGUGGGAGUGAAGACAGAGUGCGAUGCAUCAUCUGCAAGGCCAAGUGCAACUUGACCUGCCGGGGGUGCAGGGAUAUGUGCUGUUACAGAGCACAAAGUACCAGCUGCAGAGGAGUUCCCCGUGGCGGUCGGUGAGCUUCCAGUGGCAGACGUGGCUCGUGCUGAUCACGGCGACCGUUUUGAUGAGUCUGGUGCCCUACGCUGUUUACUGCAUGAUGACAGCCUUCACCAACCCUCCUCCUCCCAGCACCUUUAAAGUGGCAGCAAUUUCCUUCGGUAUACUGACAGAGACCCUGCUCAUCAAGUGUCUGUGGAGUUACUUCAGCUCUCGGUACCGGCAGGCUGCGCAGAACUCCUUCGUAGUCCAGCCCAGAGGCUCGACGGAAGACAGAAGCAACCCCGGCCUCUGGGAUCGGCCUGAGGCCGCCUCAGCAGGUCACGCUUCAUCAGCAGCCUCACCCACUCACGUGGAGGAGAGGAAAGUGGAUGUGUUGAAGAGUGGAUGCCUCAGCCUUUUCUGAACCAACAACAGAAGGAGUUUACAGAUUACAGGGUGAGAGUAAAUCCUUGGGGAAUUAGAUGUGUCUGAGAGCCAUUGAAGUUAUCACAUCAGUAUAUCAGUGUGGCAUUUAUAAGAACUUACACUUUAAAACCUAUUUUCGAGGUGUCAAAUAUUCUUGUUUUCCUUACACUCUCACUCGUUUCAGUGGAUAUAUUCACACAUGUUGCAAAUUGAUAACAAGGAAGAGAAUGCACGCAGGCAGCAUGAGUGUAUUCAGGCUCAGAGAGGGGAAAAAAAAGCCUGAAAUUACUCCCUUUCCUUAAUGAUGCCCACACAGAGACAAUGGGGCGCCGCUCUGAUUAGUGUCACCUGUCCUUGUGCAUCUCAUCAGCUCCAUUAUGGCUCCAUCUCCCAUGCUUCUUCUGCUAAUUGAAUAGCCUGUGAAGUGGUGACGAGGACGGGGGCGAGAGCAACGUCUGUCCCGCUGCUGCUUCAGAAAUGAGACUAAAGCUUCCCAGAGAGACACUAGUUCUUAAAACAUAAACCAUUAUCAUACAGACAGAAAGCGUGCUAACAAGUCGCUCUCAUGUUAUAUUACCGUCACACUGUCUGCACACUAUUUUCACCUAUAACUGCUUGGAAUUAACAUUUUGGGCCAUUUGCAGCAAAAGAGAUGGAUGAGAGGAAUGAUAAUCAAACACACAUUGUUUAUUAAAUAUAAGAUUAUUGCUGGUUAGGUUAGCUUAGCACAAAGUCUGGGAACAUGGAGCCUAGCUUUGAUGAAAUCUGCAUACCAGGUGAGCUCUGAAGCUCACCAUCAACCCCCGAUCUGUUGUGUCUUCGGUGUCUUCCAAAACUGACGUUGUGGGCAGUUGAAAGUGGUGUAAGACAGACAUUUAUCUAUCAAGUGCAUCUUUUUAGCCUACCGUUCCUGAUGACUGUUACCAAUCAGCUUUGCAGCUGCUAAAUGAAUCAUGUAAAAUAUUAAAUUGCACCGAUUCCCUUCUUCCAUGGUUGCAGCCAGCGGGUCCUGGUGAAUAAACUGCUUUUUCUGGAGGAGAAACCUAACAUGUUGAUUGCACAAUUACCUUGCUUGGUAUAAGUUUGCAUUACUUUCAAAUAAAGUUUCCCAUAUCAGCUUCCCACAAAACCUUUAGAGUAUCACUUUGAAUAGUUUACAUCAGAACAACCCAGUCAGACAUCAGCAGGUGCUCCUUCUUUAUUCAAAGCAGCUGUCAGUCACAGCAGUCUGUAAUGAGGACAAAUAAUCUUAUUAUAGCAUCAAAUAACUCAUAAUCAGCAAACUGAUAACAAAAAAUAUCAACAUCAGUGUUCUGACAAGUGCCUACAAUAGGAACUUAUUUUUUUAGGGGGGGGGGGGGCUUAAUUGAAGGUUAUAUAAAGGUUAUUCCUGGAGGUAAAACUACUGAAAUUUUGGGAGAUUGUCUGGGAUUCAUUUACAUGUUUUCAGCAGUGGGAGAAAUGGAAGCUCCCAGGAGAGUAUUACAACUCCACUCAGAAGGACUCUUAACCUCCAAGCUGUCACCCAAGUGAUGACACGUUGAUGACAUCAUCCAGGUUUUGAGUGGAGUUCUCCUUCAAUAGUCACUCAAAUGUGCUGUAAAUUGGUGAUCCUGUAUAAAUGUGUUUCAUAUAUAGGAAACUGUCUUGUAUAUUAAACAGUCAAAUAACUGAGUGUUGUCCUUUGUUAUAUCACUGUGGGGGGGGAUUUUCUAAAGUAAAUGAGAGUUAUUAAAAACUGAGGCGGGC
ensembl:lncRNA